rnacentral:rRNA from 1 species
UAUGGUCAUAAAACCCUAAACAUGCCUGAUCUCAUCUGAUCUCAGAAGCAAUGCAGGACUGGGCCUGGUUAGUGGUCAGAU